rnacentral:lncRNA from 1 species
CAACCCUCCCUGUUCACCAACCUGAGUUCUAGGUGCUGGAAAGUCCAAGAUCCAGACACCGUCAGAUCCCAUGAAUGAAUGAGAGAAUUGGACAAGACAGGCUUCAGUCACAGACACCCCAAGCAGACCAGGAUCCUUCCUAAGAGGAACACAAUUCCCCUCAUGGGUUGGGGUUUGGAUGUUUGGUUCAGGAAGAGCCUAGGACCUGGCUGCGGUCACCCAGGGCGCCCAGCACUCGACCCGAGAACAUUUCUGAAAGUAGCACUGCAGUUCCUCGAUAACUGAGCAGACUCCAAGGAGACAAGGAGAAAACAGAAAAUAAGAAAGGAGGUAACAAAGAGACCAUUCUAAAUUCAAAAAAGCAAUUUUAGAAUCAAAGUGAAUUCGGCUAUUGAAGCCAGAAACUACAGAAGUUCACACGGUGAGGUCUUGGCCUUAGCUCUUCAGCGAGCUGGGUUCCACGUCGGGGAAAUGAAGUUACCGUGAAAUCAAAGCCUCAGAGGGUGAAUCAAGGAGCCGGCAUGUAAGCACCUUGGUUAAGCCUGUGCCCAGAGGAAGGCCAAAGAACAGCAGACAACAGGAACCCCGCCUUCAGGAAGCCUUCAGCAGGAGCAGCAAAAAUCUGCUUCCUCUCCAACCCUAAGGUCACUGCAGGCUGACAAACCCUUCCCCCACGCCCUGCCACUUGAGCAGCUCAGCUCCCUGCAACCCACCCGUCCUA